rnacentral:rRNA from 1 species
UGGGGAAUUUUGCGCAAUGGACGCAAGUCUGACGCAGCGACGCCGCGUGAGUGAAGAAGGCCUGCGGGUUGUAAAGCUCUGUAGAGAGGGACGAACAGCUUGGGAGUUCACAGCUUCCAGGUCUGACGGUACUUCUAAAGUAAGCACCGGCCAACUCCGUGCCAGCAGCCGCGGUAAUACGGAGGGUGCAAGCGUUGCUCGGAAUUAUUGGGCGUAAAGGGGAGGUAGGUGGUCUCGUGUGUGUGAGGUGAAAGCCCAGGGCUUAACCCUGGAAGUGCCUCAUAAACUGCGAGACUGGAGUCUCGGAGAGGGUCGUGGAAUUCCCGGUGUAGCGGUGAAAUGCGUAGAGAUCGGGAGGAACACCAGAGGCGAAGGCGGCGACCUGGACGAGUACUGACACUAAACUCCGAAAGCGUGGGGAGCAAACAGG